GGGGCAGGAGGGGACACGGCCCCGCUGAGCCUGGGGGUUACAGACCCACCAUCUCCUGCAUCUUCGACUAUGGGAACAGGUACCACCUGCGCUGUUACCUGUACCAGGCCCGGGAUCUGCUGCCCAUGGACAAGGACAGCUUCUCUGAUCCCUACGCCAUCGUGUCGUUCCUGCACCAGAGCCAGCGUUCUGUGGUGGUGAAGAACACCCUGAACCCCACGUGGGACCAGACCCUGAUCUUCUACGAGAUCGAGAUCUUCGGGGACCCCAAAGGGGUGGCCCAGGACCCCCCCAACGUGGUGGUGGAGAUCUACG